CCCUUAGAUGUCCUGGGCCGCACGCGCGCUACAAUGGAUGAAUCAACGCGUCAUCCUGGCCCGAAAGGGUUGGGGAACCGCUGAACCUCAUCCGUGGUUGGGAUUGGGGUUUGUAAUUAUUCCCCAUGAACUAGGAAUUCCCAGUAAGCGCGAGUCAUAAGCUCGCGUUGAUUACGUCCCUGCCCUUUGUACACACCGCCCGUCGCUACUACCGAUUGGAUGGUUUAGUGAGAUCCUCGGAUUGGUCACGGCACGGUGGCAACACUGCGUCGGUGUGCCGAGAAGACGAUCAAACUUGAUCAUCUAGAGGAAGUAAAAGUCGUAACA
rnacentral:rRNA from 1 species